AUCCGCACGCGGUGCGGUUACGGUUGCGGUUGGGAUUUGAUAACCGCGGAUUACCCGCACCGUAGGACAUAUAGGGAAUUUAGUAAAUGUAUUAAGGACAAUAUGGGAAGUUGGAGUUUGAUAUAUAAACAUCUUUAGCUUUCGGUGAAACCUAAUAGCAUCAGUUUUUUUCGAGAGGAAAAGAGACCUAAUAGUCUCAGAGAAGAGACUUCGAUUCUUCUUCUUCUCUGAGUAAAUUAGUUCUCUCAUUCAUCUUCUUCUCAUCACAGAUUCACAGUAAAUAUCCUUCGAUUCAUCUUCUUCUCAUCACAGUAAAUUAGUUCUCUCAUUCAUUCUUCUUCUCUGAGCAGCAUCAGCAUCAGUAACUGUAGAUCCACGGAUUGGAGAGAAGAAUCUUCAGGAGAACAGUAUUUAAAAUCCUUGGGUAGGUGGUGAAGCUUGUAUUAUCAGUGCUACAAUUGUUUGGAAAGCAUUCCCUUGGUAAGGAGAAUCUGAGAGCAGAUGGCUUCAAGUACUAAGGGACCUUCUAUUCCUGUUGACGAUCCUGAUGAGAGCAUGGCUACAGUUAACCCGGCAACCGUCGAGAGCAUAUCUACA